ensembl:lncRNA
CAUUUCACCGCGGGGCUCCAGCCGUGUGCUCCAAGGAAGCACAGCCAGAGUUGGGGUCCGCCGCCACAACUCAGUGCUGGCCCUCGAACUCCUCCCAGUCCAGCUGGGGAGAUGGCCUGGGCCGUAGUCACCGGGCGAGCGAGUGAGUGAGUGAGCACCAAAGGCCAGAAGAAAGCUGGGAGGCUGUGGAGUCUACGCACAGGCCUGGUUUUGAAGCCCAGGGGCUUGGUCCAGGUUGGCAGGCUCAUCUGGACGUGCUGUUUCUUUGGAUUGGGUUUACUGUGUAUUUGAUAUACUAAGGAGUCUCCAAACAAACUAAAACUGUUCAUUUUACCCACAACUGUCAAUCAAGAAAAGCUGUGGACUUCCGCACAACCAGGUGGCAGAGUGGGGCAUCCAGCCUGAGCCUGUCCAUUGUGAAGACCGUCCUCUCGCCACCAUACGCCUCCGCUAAGACUGCAGCAAGUGGCACCCCCACAGGGCCCUGAAUCCAUGAGCGCCACCAGGGCUUCCUCACUCACCCUUCCUCCCAGACCUAGCGCACAGCAAAUGUCCACUGAAUGGGCAAAUGAAUGAAGCCUUCCAGAUGCUGCAGCGAAGUGCCUUUCCUUGUCCAAUCACCUCACUUCCAAGACCUUCCAGGAAGAGAUGAGCCAGGGAGCCCAGGCUGCACGCAGGAAAUAGGAAUCACCAGGCAUGCUUCUUGGUUCUUGGUUCUUGGCACAGGCUGGGGUCUUUUCCUUGCUUGUGCCCAGGGGACGUGGCCUCUGCGGGCAUACGGCCUGUUCUUGCCUUUUCCUCUUUCCUCCUCCAGGCUCCCCACACUCUUGCUGGCUUCCGUAGCACGUCCUAGUUGGUCUGCUACGACGUGGGCAUCUGUUCCUGGAGCUGCUUUUUAGUGGUGCAGACAAUGCCUAACAUCUGGCCACUUUUCUGAUGAAAACUUGUCUCCAGCUGCCUGUCACUUACAAAGGCCACAUGAUGCAGUGACAGUGCUCUAGGAGGGCCUGAAGAGCCAGAUUCUAGCCCUUCCUCUGACUUGCUGGGGGCCUUUGGACAAAUUUCCUCACCUCAAGGCCUGUCUCCUCCCCUGCUUUUGUGUUAGCCUUUGAAAGAAGCAUGCACACAGGUCAUCCCUGAGCAGCCAGAGAAGCCUGGAGACCUGGGCCUGCCCCGGCUGGAGCGACUGGGAGAUGAGGACUGUCCACUGGGGACAUAUGCCGAAGGAGAAGCCUUCCCAGAGGAGAGGAUUCAAACAGGAAGGACUUUUGAUAAACCCCGUCCUUGAGAAAUUAAUUUGAACAGAGCAAAAUCCUGUUUGGCUUCCACAUGCAAUCUCAGAGGUCGGAACAAGACUGAAAGGGUCACAAUCAACUCUGGAGCCUCAGACAGCACCCACAUCAACCAGGCUGGCUUAUCCUAUCAAGUGGCUGACAUGUUUUCAAUCAUUUAACAAAUAGGUAUUAACCAACAGUGGAGACAGCAGUGAGCCAGACAGACGAUGUCCUGGUCUCCAGGCUCAGGAACCCCAAGGACAGAAUGGGUACCUCGUGUGCCGGGCGGCAGCCCAUGCUGCCCGAGCCGGUAUCAGGAAGCAGGGCCUUCCUCAGUUCAUAGCUGGGAGGGCAGAAGCUUCACAGGCGAGGGGUGGGAAGUUCAGGCCUGCCUAACUCUGUGAGGCCUCUGGCUGAUCUAGUCUAAGAACACCCUCACGUCUGCACCUGCCACCUCUCAGACUUCUCUGAGGUAUCUCUCGACCUUGGUCUGGCCCAGCUUGCUGAACCCGG